rnacentral:rRNA from 1 species
GACGAACGCUGGCGGCGUGCUUAACACAUGCAAGUCGAACGGAAAGACCCUGCUUUUGUGGGGUGCUCGAGUGGCGAACGGGUGAGUAACACGUGAGUAACCUGCCCUUGACUUUGGGAUAACUUCAGGAAACUGGGGCUAAUACCGGAUAGGAGCUCCUGCUGCAUGGUGGGGGUUGGAAAGUUUCGGCGGUUGGGGAUGGACUCGCGGCUUAUCAGCUUGUUGGUGGGGUAGUGGCUUACCAAGGCUUUGACGGGUAGCCGGCCUGAGAGGGUGACCGGCCACAUUGGGACUGAGAUACGGCCCAGACUCCUACGGGAGGCAGCAGUGGGGAAUAUUGCACAAUGGGCGGAAGCCUGAUGCAGCAGCGCCGCGUGCGGGAUGACGGCCUUCGGGUUGUAAACCGCUUUCGCCUGUGACGAAGCGUGAGUGACGGUAAUGGGUAAAGAAGCACCGGCUAACUACGUG